rnacentral:rRNA from 1 species
AUGAUGUUAGUAUCAGUUGCUCCUGUGACUGCCAUGGGGGUCUCUCUCAUCAGUUUACUCAUAGUGUUCAAUCCAAUUUGGGAAUUUAAAAUCAAGGGUAUUGUUCUGUUAGUGGCAUUAUGCAAGAGAAAGGGGAUAUGGUAUGGGGUAGUCAUCAUGGCAAACCCAAUUGCAGCCUUAUUGUCUGUGACAUUCGUGUCCCUUAUUCUACUUCUACUACUGGACUUGUCGUUGGUCUCGAUGAGUCAUCUGGUGGCAAAGUGGAACCACGUACCAGCACAACCACCGACACCAUUCAUAGAAACAACUAGAGUGACAUUGUGGGUGCGUGGAGGUGGUUUCAUCCUCAUCGACGGUGGAGACAAGAUCAAGGACUAG